UACGUAGGGCGCAAGCGUUGUCCGGAAUUAUUGGGCGUAAAGAGCUCGUAGGUGGCUUGUCGCGUCUGCCGUGAAAGCCCAUGGCUUAACUGUGGGUCUGCGGUGGAUACGGGCAGGCUGGAGGCUGGUAGGGGCAAGCGGAAUUCCUGGUGUAGCGGUGAAAUGCGCAGAUAUCAGGAGGAACACCGGUGGCGAAGGCGGAUCUCUGGGCCAUUACUGACGCUGAGGAGCGAAAGCGUGGGGAGCGAACAGG
rnacentral:rRNA from 1 species